UGCGUACUCCCUCCGUUCCAAAAUACUUGACUUCCAUUUGUCCAAAAAUGGAUGUACCUAUAUACUAAGACAUGUCUAGAUACAUAUAUAUUUUGACAAAUAGAAGGCAUGUAUUGUGCAAUGGAGGGAGUAGAAU
rnacentral:pre_miRNA from 1 species